AUGGUACAGUCCAAGAAGAAGUUUCGCGGCGUCAGGCAGCGCCACUGGGGCUCCUGGGUCUCCGAGAUUAGGCACCCUCUCCUGAAGAGGAGGGUGUGGCUGGGCACCUUUGAGACGGCGGAGGAGGCGGCGCGGGCGUAUGACGAGGCUGCCAUCCUGAUGAGCGGGCGCAACGCCAAGACCAACUUCCCAGUGCCAAGGAGCGCCAACGGGGAGAUCAUCGUCGCCCCGGCAGCGGCACGGGACGGCCGUGGUGUCGGCUCGUCGUCCUCCGGCGCGGCCGGCGCCAGCAGCCUGUCACAGAUCCUCAGCGCCAAGCUCCGCAAGUGCUGUAAGACACCAUCCCCGUCCCUCACCUGCCUCCGCCUAGACACCGAGAAGUCCCACAUUGGCGUCUGGCAGAAGCGCGCGGGAGCCCGCGCCGACUCCAGCUGGGUCAUGACCGUCGAGCUCAACAAGGAGCCGGCGGCGGUUGCGGCACCAACGCCCAGUGACAGCACGGUGUCGGCGACUCCUUCCUCGUCGACGUCCACGUCCACAACGGGCUCGCCGCCGGAGACAAUGGAGGACGAGGAGAGGAUCGCGCUGCAGAUGAUCGAGGAGCUGCUGAGCAGGAGCAGCCCGGCCUCGCCGUCACAUGGGCUGCUGCACGGUGAAGAAGGCAGCCUCGUCAUCUGA
rnacentral:rRNA from 1 species